CAGAUCAAUCAGUCUGCAGGUAUUAGACCAGAUCAAUGAGUCUGCAGGUAUUAGACCAGAUCAAUCAGUCUGCAGGUAUUAGACCAGAUCAAUGAGUCUGCAGGUAUUAGACCAGAUCAAUGAGUCUGCAGGUAUUAGACCAGAUCAAUCAGUCUGCAGGUAUUAGAUCAGAUCAAUCAGAGAGUUCAAAGGUCAGUGAAGGUCUCUCUGUGUGUUUCUGUUACAGUCGAACUACA